AAUGAACGCUAGCGGCGGGCUUAAUACAUGCAAGUCGAGGGGUAGCAAUACACCGGCGCACGGGUGCGUAACGCGUAUGCAACCUACCUUUAUCUGGGGGAUAGCCCGGGGAAACCCGGAUUAAUACCGCAUAACAAAUUGAUUGGCAUCAAUUGAUUUUAAAAGAUUUAUCGGAUAGAGAUGGGCAUGCGUAAGAUUAGAUAGUUGGCGAGGUAACGGCUCACCAAGUCUACGAUCUUUAGGGGCUCUGAGAGGAGAAUCCCCCACACUGGCACUGGGAUACGGGCCAGACUCCUCCGGGAGGCAGCAGUAGGGAAUAUUGGGCGAUGGGCGCAAGCCUGACCCAGCCACGCCGCGUGCAGGAAGACGGCCCUCUGGGUUGUAAACUGCUUUUGACUGGGAAGAAAAGACUCCUUGCGAGGAGAGUUGACGGUACCAGCAGAAUAAGCCACGGCUAACUACGUGCCAGCAGCCGCCGUAAAAC
rnacentral:rRNA from 1 species